rnacentral:lncRNA from 1 species
AGUGCCAUAUAUGUAUGUAUGUUAACAUUUAGAUUUAUUUCUAAAUAUGAAAAACAUCUUUAUUUUUACCGGCACGAAAAAAGAAAACGGUUUCCGUGUUUUCGUAAAGAAUGUAAGUUGAUAUUUUCGACAUAUAGUGCAUUUAAAAGUCAUUUAAAUCGCAGUCAUUAUAAACCUGUCGUGUCAGGAACCAAACUUAAUGAAAUUAUUUACAAGUGUUCUUUAGAAAAUUGUCAGUUUGUACAAACUAACAAAAGUCAAUUUUUAAAGCAUGUUUAUAAUCACAUGAAAAAAGGAAAUGCCUUAAAAUGUAUGCCUUAAAUAAUAAUUAAAUAUGGAGUCGAAAAAAAAUUAUGCAAUCCUGACUAUGACAAAAUUAACCAAAUAGAAGGAUGUGUAAAAUUUUAUGGAAAAUAUUUUAAAGAAGACUUGUCAAAAUCAAUUUUAGUUUAUCAUGAUCAGCCGGAAAAUCCUGAACAAUUGUCUCAAUAUAUUUCAAUUUUGGCGCCUAGUAUAUUGGUGACUUCUAAGGACGAAACUAAAUAUUACAAAGUCUUUAUGGAAAAGCAAGAGAUCUAUGAGGACACAUCAUUUAUUGAAAGCCUAUUAGUGUGUUUUGGACUUUAUUCUGUAAUGAAUCUGAUUUUUCCCAAAACAGCAGCUAUAACUCUGGAGAUGUUACAAAGGUUUCAUUUAAAAAUUCAUCCUGAUUCGGGCACAAAAGCUAAAUCAACUUCAAAAGGGAAAGUUCUUACUUUGAUGAAAAAUCUUACCAAAGCAUUUUCAUAAAUUUGUUUAAAUUA